rnacentral:tRNA from 1 species
CGCGAUGUGCGCGACGGGCUCGUCGCGCUCGCGCGGCGCGAGGGCGUCGAGUUCCGGUUCGACACCGAGUGCCGCGAC